GCAGAGAUGUGGGAGUGCUCGCAAGAGAGCCUGGACACAGGUGCUGCAUGGCUGUCGUCAGCUCGUGUCGUGAGAUGUUGGGUUAAGUCCCGCAACGAGCGCAACCCUUGCCAUUAGUUGCUACGAAAGGGCACUCUAAUGGGACUGCCGGUGACAAACCGGAGGAAGGUGGGGAUGACGUCAAGUCCUCAUGGCCCUUAUGGGUAGGGCUACACACGUCAUACAAUGGCCGGUACAGAGGGCUGCCAACCCGCGAGGGGGAGCCAAUCCCGUAAAGCCAGUCGUAGUCCGGAUCGUAGUCUGCAACUCGACUACGUGAAGUCGGAAUCGCUAGUAAUCGUGGAUCAGGAUGUCUCGGUGAAUACGUUCCCGGGUCUU
rnacentral:rRNA from 1 species